rnacentral:tRNA from 1 species
UUUAGCUCAGUGGUGAGAGCGAGCGACUCAUAAUCGCCAGGUCGCUGGUUCAAAUCCAGCAA